rnacentral:rRNA from 1 species
UACGGGGGGUGCAAACGUUGCUCGGAAUUAUUGGGCGUAAAGGGCGCGUAGGCGGUGCGGUAAGUCACCUGUGAAAUCUCCGGGCUUAACUCGGAGCCUGCAGGCGAAACUGCCGUGCUUGAGUGUGGGAGAGGUGCGUGGAAUUCCCGGUGUAGUGGUGGAAUGCGUAGAUAUCGGGAGGAACACCAGUGGCGAAGGCGGUUGCCUGGAGCUUUGCUGACGCUGAGGCGCGAAAGCGUGGGGAGCGAUCCGG